rnacentral:rRNA from 1 species
GGGAACAUACCCUUUUCUACGGAAUAGCUCUGGGAAACUGGAAUUAAUACCGUAUACGCCCUACGGGGGAAAGAUUUAUCGGGGAAGGAUUGGCCCGCGUUGGAUUAGCUAGUUGGUGGGGUAAAGGCCUACCAAGGCGACGAUCCAUAGCUGGUCUGAGAGGCUGAUCAGCCACAUUGGGACUGAGACACGGCCCAAACUCCUACGGGAGGCAGCAGUGGGGAAUAUUGGACAAUGGGCGCAAGCCUGAUCCAGCCAUGCCGCGUGAGUGAUGAAGGCCUUAGGGUUGUAAAGCUCUUUCACCGAUGAAGAUAAUGACGGUAGUCGGAGAAGAAGCCCCGGCUAACUUCGUGCCAGCAGCCGCGGUAAUACGAAGGGGGCUAGCGUUGUUCGGAAUUACUGGGCGUAAAGCGCACGUAGGCGGAUAUUUAAGUCAGGGGUGAAAUCCCAGAGCUCAACUCUGGAACUGCCUUUGAUACUGGGUAUCUUGAGUAUGGAAGAGGUAAGUGGAAUUGCGAGU